CCAAAAGUGAUCUUGGCUGCCGUGCCCCGGUCAUUGGUAGUGCAGGGAAAGGAUUCGGAAAGACGGGCUCCGAGCUCGGGGCAUCUGGCCUGGAGCUUUCCUACACUUGUGUCUUUCUCUGCAGCCUUACAGAAGUGUGGGUGGCAGCUUUCUGGAAGCUGCACAAGUCAGGGCUGGGUCUUCGCAACUUGGUGUUCUGUUUCUAGAAACUUGGGGUAUUUGCAUAUGCUAGGUCAGCACAGAUUUCCAAAGGAUCCCUAGGAUUGUCACGUGUGCUCAACAGUCCUCGGCUUUCCAGAAGAUGCUGGAACAGGGCCCUUGAAGAUGUUUGUGGACACCAGAGG
rnacentral:lncRNA from 1 species